AUCGAACGCUGGCGGCAGGCCUAACACAUGCAAGUCGAACGAGUGGCGGACGGGCGAGUAAUGUCUGGGAAACUGCCUGAUGGAGGGGGAUAACUACUGGAAAAAGUAGCUAAUACCGCAUACCAUCGGAUGUGCCCAGUGGGGAUUAGCUAGUAGGUGGGGUAACGGCACACCUAGGCGACGAUCCUUAGCUGGUCUGAGAGGAGGACCGUACACACUGGAACGGAGACACGGUCCAGACUCCUACGGGAGGCAGCAGUGGGGAAUAUUGCACAAUGGGCGAAAGCCUGAUGCAGCAAUGCCGCGUGUGUGAAGAAGGCCUUCGGAUUGUAAAGUACUUUCAGCGGGGAGGCGUUACUCGCAGAGAAAGCACCGGCUAACUCCGUGCCAGCCGCCGCGGUAAUUC
rnacentral:rRNA from 1 species